UACGGGGGGGGCAAGCGUUGUUCGGAAUUACUGGGCGUAAAGGGCUCGUAGGUGGCCAACUAAGUCAGACGUGAAAUCCCCAGGCUUAACCUGGGAACUGCGUCUGAUACUGGAUGGCUAGAGUUUGGGAGAGGGAUGCGGAAUUCCAGGUGUAGCGGUGAAAUGCGUAGAUAUCUGGAGGAACACCGGUGGCGAAGGCGGCAUCCUGGACCAACACUGACGCUGAGGAGCGAAAGCAUGGGGAGCGAACAGG
rnacentral:rRNA from 1 species